GAUUAGGUAGUUGGUGUGGUAAAAGCUCACCAAGCCGACGAUCUGUAGCUGGUCUGAGAGGACGACCAGCCACACUGGAACUGAGACACGGUCCAGACUCCUACGGGAGGUAGCAGUGGGGAAUUUUCCGCAAUGGGCGAAAGCCUGACGGAGCAAUGCCGCGUGGGGGAACAAGGCUCACGGGUCGUAAACCCCUUUUCCCAGAGAAGAAGUCCUGACGGUAUCUGGGGAAUAAGCAUCGGCUAACUCUGUGCCAGCAGCCGCGGUAAGACAGAGGAUGCAAGCGUUAUCCGGAAUGAUUGGGCGUAAAGCGUCUGUAGGUGGCUUCUUAAGUCCGCUGUCAAAUCCCAGGGCUUAACCCUGGCCAGGCGGUGGAGACUACUAAGCUUGAGUACGGUAGGGGCAGAGGGAAUUUCCGGUGGAGCGGUGAAAUGCGUAGAGAUCGGAAAGAACACCAAGGGCGAAGGCACUCUGCUGGGCCGACACUGACACUGAGAGACGAGAGCUAGGGGAGCAAAUGGGAUUAGAUACCCCAGUAGUCCUAGCCGUAAACGAUGGAUACUAAGCGCUGUGCGUAUUGACCCGUACAGUGCUGUAGCUAACGCGUUAAGUAUCCCGCCUGGGGAGUACGCUCGNCAGAGUGAAACUCAAAGGAAUUGACGGGGGCCCGCACAAGCGGUGGAGCAUGUGGUUUAAUUCGAUGNCACGCGAAGAACCUUACCAGGGCUUGACAUGCC
rnacentral:rRNA from 1 species